AACCCGCGAACUGCAGCACCUUGGAUCGGGAGACGAGUGUCCUGACAGUUGAGCUAAAAGCCCAGUAUAAAUCUAUCUGUCCUCUAACUUUCCAACAGAAUUCCAAUCUCACAUAUGUGACAAGGGGGUGAAAAGAGGAAAAGACAUUUUUUUUAUAUGUGAGGCAAAUACAGACCAAUUGGAUACCAUGUGGGAGAAGGAUGGGCAAAUGCUAUAUGAUAGUGACCGUGUCAGCAUUAUCCAGAAGGGGAAGGUCUUGAGUCUCACGAUAAGCAAAGCCAAGGAAGAGAAUGAAGGGAAAUACACAAUAACCCUGAGGAAUAAUAAAGGCACCGCCUCAGAGUCCGCUUCAGUCUCUCUACUCCAGUUUGACCGUGAUUGGAGGACUAUUAAUUGGGGUUUAAUUCAUUCCCACUACCUGAAGAAUACGCAUGCUACAACAGUAACCCUACCCUGGAUGAUAAGAUUCACUGUCUGGUCAGUGUUCUCUCAGCAAACAGCGUCCAUCUGAUGGAAGACAGAAAAAAUGAUGAAGUUAUUAACAAAAUGCGAAAUGUCAGAGAGCAUGCUAGUAAAAUAGGCAUCCCACAAGUGGUCCUCAUGACACAUGUGGACUUGGCUUGUCCGCUUGUGAAGGAAAGCUUGCAGAACACCUACUCCAGCAAGGUCAUUAAGAGGAGAAUGCAAGAGUGCAGAAACAAGUUGGGUGUUCCCAUGAACUGCAUAUUCCCAGUGAAGAACUACGACGAGGAGAUAGAUCUAGAUGAUAAUGUGAACUCUUUGAUUCUGAAUGCCCUAAAG